AGUGAACGCUGGCGGUAGGCCUAACACGUGCCAGUCGAACGGCAGCACAGUAAGAGCUUGCUCUUACGGGUGGCGAGUGGCGGACGGGUGAGGAAUACAUCGGAAUCUACUUUUUCGUGGGGGAUAACGUAGGGAAACUUACGCUAAUACCGCAUACGACCUACGGGUGAAAGCAGGGGAUCUUCGGACCUUGCGCGAUUGAAUGAGCCGAUGUCGGAUUAGCUAGUUUGCGGGGUAAAGGCCCACCAAGGCGACGAUCCGUAGCUGGUCUGAGAGGAUGAUCAGCCACACUGGAACUGAGACACGGUCCAGACUCCUACGGGAGGCAGCAGUGGGGAAUAUUGGACAAUGGGCGCAAGCCUGAUCCAGCCAUACCGCGUGGGUGAAGAAGGCCUUCGGGUUGUAAAGCCCUUUUGUUGGGAAAGAAAAGCAGCAGGUUAAUACCCCGCUGUUCUGACGGUACCCAAAGAAUAAGCACCGGCUAACUUCGUG
rnacentral:rRNA from 1 species